rnacentral:rRNA from 1 species
AGUGAACGCUGGCGGUAGACCUAACACAUGCAAGUCGAACGGCAGCACAGUAAGAGCUUGCUCUUACGGGUGGCGAGUGGCGGACGGGUGAGGAAGACAUCGGAAUCUACUUUUUCGUGGGGGAUAACGUAGGGAAACUUACGCUAAUACCGCAUACGACCUACGGGUGAAAGCAGGGGAGCUUCGGACCUUGCGCGAUUGAAUGAGCCGAUGUCGGAUUAGCUAGUUGGCGGGGUAAAGGCCCACCAAGGCGACGAUCCGUAGCUGGUCUGAGAGGAUGAUCAGCCACACUGGAACUGAGCCACGGUCCAGACUCCUACGGGAGGCAGCAGUGGGGAAUAUUGGACAAUGGGCGCAAGCCUGAUCCAGCCAUACCGCGUGGGUGAAGAAGGCCUUCGGGUUGUAAAGCCCUUUUGUUGGGAAAGAAAAGCAGCAGGUUAAUACCCCGCUGUUCUGACGGUACCCAAAGAAUAAGCACCGGCUAACUUCGUG